ACUCCUACGGGAGGCAGCAGUGAGGAAUAUUGGUCAAUGGAGGGAACUCUGAACCAGCCAUCCCGCGUGUAGGAAGACGGCCUUAUGGGUUGUAAACUACUUUUAUACAGGAAGAAACGUACCCUCGUGAGGGUGCCUGACGGUACUGUAGGAAUAAGCACCGGCUAACUCCGUGCCAGCAGCCGCGGUAAUACGGAGGGUGCGAGCGUUAUCCGGAUUUAUUGGGUUUAAAGGGUCCGUAGGCGGAUUAAUAAGUCAGUGGUGAAAUCCCAUCGCUUAACGAUGGAACUGCCAUUGAUACUGUUAGUCUUGAAUGAGGGUGCAGUGGUUGGAAUGUGUAGUGUAGCGGUGAAAUGCAUAGAUAUUACACAGAACACCGAUUGCGAAGGCAGAUCACUAACCCUAAAUUGACGCUGAGGGACGAAAGCGUGGGGAGCGAACAGGAUUAGAUACCCUGGUAG
rnacentral:rRNA from 1 species